UACGUAGGGGGCAAGCGUUGUCCGGAUUUACUGGGCGUAAAGAGCGCGUAGGCGGAAUGGUAAGCGGGGCCGGAAAGCCCCCGGCUCAACCGGGGAAGGGGCCGCGAACUGCCAUUCUUGAGGGGGAGAGGGGAGAGCGGAAUUCCUGGUGUAGCGGUGAAAUGCGUAGAGAUCAGGAGGAACACCAAUGGCGAAGGCAGCUCUCUGGCUCACCCUGACGCUGAGGCGCGAAAGCGUGGGGAGCGAACGGGA
rnacentral:rRNA from 1 species